CGUAGUUCUGCCUUAAAGAGAGUUACUCUC
rnacentral:piRNA from 1 species